GCCGGCGGCUAGCUCUCUGCAACUCUCACAUGGUCGCCCACUGAAGCUAAGCAGGGCUGCGCCCGGUCAGUUCCUGGAUGGAAGACCACAUGGGAAAGCUAAAUUGCUGCCGGAA
rfam:Danio rerio chromosome 12 genomic contig CTG1221, GRCz11 reference primary assembly.